rnacentral:rRNA from 1 species
AUACGUAGAGUGCAAGCGUUGCCCGGAAUUAUUGGGCGUAAAGGGUACGCAGGCGGAUAAACAAGUCAAGCGUGAAAGGCGUCGGCUUAACCGACAGACUGCGUUUGAAACUGAUUAUCUUGAGUGUAACAGAGGAGAGUGGAAUUCCUAGUGUAGUGGUGAAAUACGUAGAUAUUAGGAAGAACACCAGUGGCGAAGGCGACUCUCUGGGUUAACACUGACGCUGAGGUACGAAAGCUGGGGGAGCGAACGGGAUUAGAUACCCCGGUAGUCCCAGCCGUAAACGAUGGAUACUAGGUGUUGGAGGUAUCGACCCCUUCUGUGCCGGAGUUAACACAAUAAGUAUCCCACCUGGGGAGUACGGCCGCAAGGUUGAA